AAAAGAUUAGAACUCGGAGGAACUCAAUCAACCCGCAAACUCGAGAAAUUUCUCCUCGAACUCACAUUCCACAGAAGCCAAAACUGCUUCAUCAGUUUCAGUGGCUGUGAUUUGCACUAAAUUCGCAAAAAAUUCAAUCUUUCUAUCUGUUUCUUUACCCUAAUAUGCCUGUAACCGAAGUCCUCUGCUUUGUCCAUCUAAAACCCAUGUCCAACCUCUCCCCAUAUCCAAUUUCUGCAAUCAAACCUACUUCAUUUGGUUUCGGAUUUUGCACUAUUUCUCCCAAUUUUGGUGUCUCCUUGCGGUUUAGUUCAAAUUUCUGUGGCACAAAAGAUCAGUUCUUGAACCCAAACUUCGGUUUCAGCAAUGGGAAACGCCGUCUUUGCAGUUGGGUAAUCAGGGCCGCUUGAACUGAUUACUAUUCCACUUUGAAUUUUAGUAGGAAUGCCACAUUGCAGGAAAUCGAGAGCUCCUAUAGGUCCUAGCUUGCUCGUAAGGUGAGUCUGAUGUGAAUCAUUUUGCAAGACUGAACUCCAUGAUGAAUGGUUUCAAUAAAAUGCAAGCAUCCAGAAGUGAAAGCCCUUGGUCAAGUGCCUGCAAUAAAAGUAAAUUUCUAGAUAUGUUGAUUCUAGAUAUCUACCUGUUUUGGAACACUAUCAUCCAGACCAGAGCAAGGACCCUGGGGCAGAAGAGAAGCUCGAAGAGAUAAGUGCUGCAUAUGAGGUAACUACUUUUUGCCCAAAAAACUGCUUAACCUGCCAUCUUUUGUAUUAGAAUUAUUGUUUGGAUUCACUCAUAAUGAAGCCUAUGCAAUCUAUCUGGCAUUAAGGUUGAGUAUGAUUAUUUGUGUAAUAACUUGUGAUGCUUGAUUGGUUUUCUUUAUAUUUUUUUAAUUUUUUUAAUUUUAAGUUAAUUUAGUAAUUUCUAUUCAUGCAUUAUAUUUUCUGAAAUUAUGUUGUAACUAUUCACUCUCUCCACAAAUCCACAUUUGUGUGGUUUAAUGUUGAAUUAAGGGAUGGCAUAAUCAAACCAUAUCAGAAUUAAAUGAUUGUAUUGCAUCAGGUCAGCCUUUUGAGUCCUGCUAUUCAUACACGAAUUUUUCAUAUGAGGUUAGCACGUGGCACAACAUUUUUGAUGCAUGUAUGCAAUAUGGCCUGUGACCACUCUGCUCUGACAAAUUAAUGGGGAAGGGUUUGUGUUCCUGGGUGAUGAAUAAAGCAAUGGCAUUGUAUCAUAUUAACUACAUGCAAGAUUUAGCAUAUGGGUUUAUAUUAUUACUGUAGGAUCAUAAUUUUUCUCCAUUUUCUUUUUCUUUCCAUUAUCUUUCAUGUGUUAAUGAGGCAUUCAUGUAGGUCCUAUCAGAUGAUGAGAAAAGAUCUUUAUAUGAUCGCUUUGGUGAGUCAGGUUUACAGGGAGAAUAUGAUGGUUCAGACUUUGGUUCACAGGGGAUGGAUCCUUUUGAAAUAUAUAACGCAUUCUUUGGCGAAUCAGAUGAAUUCUUUGGAGGACGGCGUGAAGCAGGUGGCAUUAACUUCAAUUUGAGAAAUAUGGGAAACCAGGACCUUGACAUUCGGUAUAACCUUUAUUUGAGCUUUGAAGAAUCAAUUUUUGGAGCACAGCGGGAAAUUGAAGUUUCUUGUUUUGAAACCUGUGAUAACUGUGGUGGAACAGGUGCUAAAUCUAGUAGCUGCAUAAAAAAUUGUGCUGAUUGUGGAGGUCGUGGAGGGGUGAUGAAAACCCAAAGAACACCAUUCGGAAUGAUAUCACAGGUAUCUACUUGCUCAAAAUGCAGCGGCAAGGGCAAGACAAUUACUGAUCACUGCCGAAAGUGUGGUGGCAAUGGUAAAGUAAGUUCAAAGCGAAGUAUGAAAGUGGAAAUUCCACCUGGCAUCAAUAAUGGAGCUAUGAUGCAAAUUCAAGGGGAGGGUAAUUUUGACAAGAAAAGGGGUGUUGCUGGUGAUCUUUUUAUAACCAUCCGUAUCAAUGAAAAGCACGGAAUUAGGAGGGAUGGCCUCAAUCUUUACUCAAAUAUCAAUGUUGAUUAUACGGAGGCAAUAUUGGGAGCUACAUUGAAGGUUGAAACUGUUGAUGGAAUGAAAGAUCUUCAAAUUCCCUCUGGGAUUCAGCCUGGAGACACAGUAAAAUUAUCGCAGAUGGGAGUUCCAGACAUCAAUAAACCUUUUGUUCGAGGUGAUCAUCACUUUAUUGUGAAUGUUCUGAUCCCAAAAGAAAUCAGUGACAAGGAACGAGCACUCAU
rnacentral:misc_RNA from 1 species